CCCCGCGCCCCUCCCUCCACGGCAGCCCGCCCUUGUGCCCGCCCCUCCACUGUUCUAGGCCGCGGGCGCAUCUAGUGGUUGGAGAAGAGCAGAGCAGAUCCUUGCCGUUCCCGGCGAGUCGGCGGCGACACCGCUGGAGAAGAAGACGUCCGUGACCGCAUCGGCAUCGGCAUCGGCAUCCGCGUCUCCUUCCCCACCCCCCCCCCCCCCCCCUCACCCGUGAGGCUCGCUCUCCCUCCCCCUGCGCCGAAACCCUAGGUGUUGAAAGCACAGAGAACUACAAAGGAGAAAGGAUAUUCUGAUGUCCUUUAUUUGGAUGCCGUUCACAACAAAUAUCUGGAAGAAGUUUCUUCAUGCAAUAUUUUCGUCGUGAAAUGCAGCAACAACAAUAAGGGAGGUAAAGGAGGAGAUUGGGCUUGAUCCAGCCUUGGUCACUCUCGUUUCCUCGCUUGAGCACUUCUUGCAUCAUAAUAAUCUUCACAUUUUAGUUGCAUCAUAAUAAUCUUCUUCUUCUAGUCUUCUUCUUCUAACUUUCUUCUUUCCCAUUUUACAGAUUUGCUUAAGAUCACGGAAGCUUGGGUUGAUGGAGUGCUUGUAUUUAGUUUUUGUUUUGACCUUGUGAAACUUGUUACCUAUGGAUGAAACUAUGUAAUAUUGAUGAAAC